rfam:Firmicutes bacterium ASF500 genomic scaffold adhIg-supercont1.3, whole genome shotgun sequence.
GGGGGCGUACCGGUUUCGACGGGGGCGGAGAAGCAGGAAUAGCGAGCGGAUGCGCCUAACAUCCUAAAAAUGGGCACUUAUAAAUUAAAGAACGAUAACGAUUACGUUCUCGCCGCUGCUUAAAGCGGCCGUCCUGCCCGGAAGGACCACGAGCCGGGUCUGGGCGUAGCCUUAGUGGUGCCCGUGUGUUCGGAAAGAGUUGACCGUUCCACGCAUUAUGACUCUACCAAGCUCAAUAGUGUGACGACCCACGCUUGAGUAAGGGAAUGUAAAUGAUCGUCUGCGCUCGGAGAGGUUCCUGUGGAAACGCUUUCGGACGGGGGUCCAACUCCCCCCGCCUCCACCA